UGGCGGACGGGUGAGUAAUGUCUGGGAAACUGCCUGAUGGAGGGGGGUAACUACUGGAAACGGUAGCUAAUACCGCAUAACGUCGCGAGACCAAAGAGGGGGACCUUAGGGCCUCUUGCCAUCGGAUGUGCCCAGAUGGGAUUAGCUAGUAGGUGGGGUAACGGCUCACCUAGGCGACGAUCCCUAGCUGGUCUGAGAGGAUGACCAGCCACACUGGAACUGAGACACGGUCCAG
rnacentral:rRNA from 1 species